rnacentral:rRNA from 1 species
CAGUCGCCGCGGUAAUACAGAGGGUGCGAGCGUUAAUCGGAUUUACUGGGCGUAAAGCGUGCGUAGGCGGCUUUUUAAGUCGGAUGUGAAAUCCCUGAGCUUAACUUAGGAAUUGCAUUCGAUACUGGGAAGCUAGAGUAUGGGAGAGGAUGGUAGAAUUCCAGGUGUAGCGGUAAAAUGCGUAGAGAUCUGGAGGAAUACCGAUGGCGAAGGCAGCCAUCUGGCCUAAUACUGACGCUGAGGUACGAAAGCAUGGGGAGCAAACAGGAUUAGAUACCCGAGUAGUCCCUGUCUCUUAUAU